CCCCUCUCAGGGUUGCACCUGGAGAGUUUCCAGUACUCUACCAGUCUCGACUCUGAGAGGGAGAGUCAAGUAGAGGCAUACCGAUUCUAUUCCUAGCUUAGGCAAGGGCUAGCGAGUGGAAGGCAAUCUGCUAACAAG